UUAACUAUUGCAUAGUACUCAGACAUCACUAAAAGGCACGGGUUGUGGGCCUCUGGCAGGCGCGCAGCAGCCGGAGCCGCUGGCACGAGGCGGCCUGCCAAAGCAACAGAGGUAGUUUAUUCAAGGGUGGAGGGUCAGGACCAGACUUCUCCGAGAGGUCUGACGACUCUAAACCCUACCCGGAGGUAGGGUAGCCCGCCACGAAGCACGCUUCGGUGGGGCGCUGCCUGUCCUUAUCUCUUGUAAUGAUCCUUCCGCAGGUUCACCUACGGAAA
rnacentral:misc_RNA from 1 species